GGAUCACGUCGUGUUUCAAAUUUAAGGGUACUUUGAAAACGUAAGUGAAAAAUAAAAAAGACAUAUUUCUAGUUCUGUCCUCCUGGUCUCUUGCCCAUGUGUAGUAGAAAGAAAAGGGAUAAUGAGGGGAACCCACCUCCACCUCACAACCUUUCCUACAGAACCUACAGAGAUUCAAAACCUUUGAUUUACUACACAUAUAUUUAGCAAAGUGGGAAAUUUCAAGAGGCUACAUACAGCUUUCUGAUCUCUGUUCCUCCCUCAGCCCUAGCCCUAGCCUUAUUCCCAGCUGAAGCUGGAAUAAUAUGUAGGUUACUCUAUACUGUACCAGCAAAGAUUGAUUCUGAGAGCACCAUGAGCAAUGUGCCAGUCUGGCCAUUUUUUUUCAUCUCCUCCUCUCCUGCUUGCUCCCAAGAGUUGCAGAGAGGGUACUCUAACAGAGAGAUAACCAUGCCAGUUUUCUACUUGCUGCAGGUUACCCAAGCGCUAGUACAGCAACAAUGGGAUUGGGGGCAAUCCCAGUAUUGGAACGGGCACUGUUUUGCCAACUGGAAGGGGUAUCAGCUUAUGACAGACUCUCUUCAGCAACAAGCGUUAACCUGGGACCUAAUUAAGGUGUGUGUAGUAAAGGUGUUUACUCAGAAAUGCCAAAAGCCGAGAAAAUUCUCACCAAAUUAAUACUUCCAAUACACUGCCCAACAUUGGACAGUAACCUGCACAGAGGACAAAUACAGUCAUUGUGGCAUUCACAGUUUUGUAUCAGCCACCCAAACCUGAGAGUUAGAAGCUAUCCAGGGGUAAGAAAAUGUCAAUCAGUAUGUAAUGUAAAUAUUUUUUUAGCCAGAUCCACAGAAUUUCAUUGCAUUUCAAUGGUUAAUUUAGUUGGCUUGGGUUACUAAGGCUUGAGAUUGAGAAGUGAUUUAAGGAAUCAAUCUAGAUUCUACCCAGCAAGCACACAACUCUUCUUGCAUGUGACAGAAAAUAAUGUUUAUCUUGUAAUUAUUUUCAUAUUCAAUCUAGUAGAUUUAAAAGGAAGAAUGUUUUUCUCUCCUCUUCAGUUUUCUGCUCCUAUAGCAAUGAUGUCUAGUACAGACAGCAAAUGAGCUGCAUGAAUACAUAUUCAUUAUUUGUAUUAUUUAUAUUAUUAUCUACUUAUUAGCCCAACAGGCAGCACACAGAGGACGUUUAGUAUUUAUGUCACUUUGCUUGAGGGACACGUAGAAAAAAUAUGAAUUAUGGAAACACUCAGUGAGUCAUCUAAUCUGUAGCUUUGUUGGGAAACUGCAAGAACAAGUAAGGUUGGAUGUAAUGAGUUAGGAAUUCUUAGCUGGUUCAGGUCAAAUUCCCAAAUGUAAAUCACUACAACACCAUUACACAAGCAGAGCUGCAUCAGUCAGAGGGCAAGAUUCUUGCCCGACUGCUAGGCUGUAUUUUCAAGACUGUGCAGCAUUAAGAUACAUCAGUUAAAACCAAUGACUGAACAUUGUCUAACUGUAAUCAUUUCCAUAAAUCCAGUUGUUCUACAUCUCCUUGCAAGGUUUCCACAUAUACUGGUGAUUUCUUCAGCUUGUCAUUAUCCAUACAAUUUCAAUACAAUUAUUUAUCUAGACUUGGAGGCAGCCAAUCAAUGACAGAGGGUCCUGAUUUUUCCUUUUUUGUUCACAGAGGUAUUAGUCACAGCUGUGAGCUAGAAUUCAGAGCAGCACCCAGACAUUUCAGCUAAUCUAGCCCACUCCUUUUACCUGACCAGAGCAAUCGACAAGGCAUCCACACAGAGGGCUUGGAGACAGUUAGGCCUGGAAGAACACUUUCUACUGGGUAAAAGCAAGAGCAGGUACCAGCAACUGCCACCCCUCUGAGCUUUAUAACCAAAACUCUCAAAUUGGCAUCCAGUCCUCACAAAUAUAAAUGCAGGACGCUUGGUUUGACACCACAUCUUUGGUAUUAGAGUAGUGCUCUGGGCACCAGUAUGGAAGGAAGAUGGAGCUGCUCAUUAGUAUGCUUUAAUUAAAAAAAAAAAGUACCAAGAAAGAAGAUUUAAGCCAAAAGGUUUAAAAGCUAAAUACACAGGUGAGAGAUGCACAAGAAAGAAAAAUGAAUGAAGUACUGACUUGUCCAUAUUAAAGUCAUUGUGGAAAAAGGAUGAAAAUGCUGUGACCCAUCUGCCACAGAGCUUCUCCAAGAACCACUAGUUCUUGUUUCCCUUACCCAACCCUUGAAGUCUAGUUUCCCAAAUAUUAGCAGAGCUCCCACUGUGCAUAUGUAUCCAGCAAAGCAAUGUUCAGAUGGCAUUUAAAGUGGUCAGAUACUCUUGGCAUGCAAGAAUUUCCAACUGGGAUCCAUCUGUGAGCAAAAAAUGUGAUUGCAAUUUCUUGGGUAUUUCGCUGUCAGCACUUAGCAAAUUUCUUAAGGGGGAAAUCUCACCUUCACUUUGACACUUGAAUUCUGACCAUAGUAAUUCACAGUGAGAAUCAUUUUUUCCCAUCACUAGUUAUAGCAAGGUUAGUGUUUAGUGAAUAUGAAAUAAAGUACUAGACGGUAUGUGAACUGGCAUCAAAAUCUUUUUGUGCUCUUUUGCUGUAGUAUCACAGUAUCUACAAGAGAUUAUAAUUUUAUUUCUGUUCUUUUUGGAGCCAUCCCUUAUCUUCCACAACAGACUCCUAUGUAAUUGUCUAGCUCUUUUCUUUGGGGAGAGCAUAGCAAGUAAUUAGUGCGCCAAAUGCUACCUUCAGAUGCAUAAGGGCAAUUCAGGCUGAGAUUCUUAUUCUUCUUUGUACUCUUCCAAUGCAAAUACAAACUUGUCUCAUCUGUCUUUGUGAAUAUGUCUGCAUGUUUCUGUCUGUCUUCAUGUAUUAGUCUUACAUAGCCAUACCUUUCAGGGAAACCACUGUACUGUCAAUUGAAUGUCAUGCAAACUCUCAGCUCAGAGCCAGGAAAAAAAUUGUACUUAAAUCUGUGAAAAAUGAUGUUAUCUUUGCUACAGGGGUUCUUACCUCAGUUCUUCUGCCCCAUCCUUUUUAUUUCAUUUGUCCUUGACUCUGCUGAUCCUUCAUGCCCGUGUACAACAAGCAGACUAAAUUCAGCUUUGAAAAUAUCCCCUGAAGUCUUGCUUGCUGUCUGUUACUUUCAAGCUUAUAGCUGAGCAGCCCUUUUACUCUCAGGGCCAGGAUUUCUUGCCUCCAAAACAAGUCUAACUCUCCCUUAGCUCUGCAUGCUUUCACUCUGGAGAAACUCCUCCUGUCAACUUUACUUUUGACAGCUAAAAGCCACUCUCUCUAUAUUCCACCCGAUCUCUCUGAUCCCUUUUACACUGUGCAUCUCUGCUCCUUACACAGGAAUUAACUUCCCUUUAGAUUCUGCAGUACCUGAUGAGCUUGGUUCUUCAGUCUUUCUAGCUUUCAGUAUCUCCUUGGAGAUCCUUAAUUUUCCCCUGAAUGUUCUUUUGGGUCCCUUCAAGACUUUUCAGAGACAGUUAUAGGCCAGUAUGGGUUACAACAGCAGAAAGCACAAAGGCUUCAGUGCAAGCCAAAGAAACACACAGAAGAUAUGUGUUCUGGUUGCCAGUCUGCACUGAAGCCAGGGUUGUUUCCUAUUUAAGGUUAUAGUUAUCCAGAUCAUCUAGGUUAAAGAGAAUCAUCUGAGUAAUAUACAGUCGAAUGGUAAAAAGCAUAAUAACUGUAUGUAUUGAGCAAUAUGUGAAGCAGGUGCAAGGUUAAGUGAGUGACACAGAAGCUAACAGGAAUAUAUCAGAAAAAAUAGUGGUGAGAGUUGCCACAUCUUACACCAGCUGCCAAAUGCUUUUCGUCCUCCCUGACCCCCCUUCUCUUAGUCACAUCAGCUUUAUGUUACAUUGCUUGAAUUCACUGAAUGCCACAAUCUGUGUGAACUACACCCUGGAGAGAAGAGCUGCACUCCACUUCAGAGAAUUCCUCGUGCUCAUCAGUGUGUGGCUCAACAGGCCUGUAGGGGGGCUGUGGCUGGUAUUUUAUAUUAUAGACCCUAAGAAUAAACAUCUACAUUGAAACAGGUGGCUUGAAAGAGACAAAAGAUGUUUUGCAUAGCUGUGCUCACCUGUCCAAACACCUCCUCGUUCACUGUGAAGGUGAGAUCCAGGAUAUCUGUGAUGUUAUUAUCCUUCAUCCACUGCAAGCUCUGAUGGAACUCUUCAUCCAGGUACUCCAAGUCACUUAAAUCACACGGCCUGGUUGUGAGGCAAGAUAAAAGACGUAGCUGAAUAUACGACCCCAUGACUACUGUAGACAACCCAAACAACCACAGAAAGAAAUUGAAGGUCUGAGCACUCAAAGCAACUCCAUGAGGGUCUGUGCCUCUGUGAAACCCACUGCUGCAUCACUGUUUCCAAGCUGCACAGUUGCAUGCUUAUACUUACAGCCUUAGCAGUGCUUUGUAGAACGGCCUUGUGAAGAAAGCAUCAAGAAGGUACUGAUGAAUGAGCGCAAGGCCAAGAAUACGACCACUGAACCUGAACCUGGGAUACAAAAAUGCAGAGUAAAUGAAGUGUAACUCAAGACGUUCGGCAUAGAAAUUUAUACAGGUAGCAGUUGUUUUAGUUUCUUAGUUAUUUCCAUUUAUUAUUAUUAUUCCCCUACCCCAGCAGGUAUCUAACACCAACCCUCAGAUAUCUGACUGAUCCAUAAUGGACCUCUUCAUGAUUCAUCUUCUGCAGUACCCAUAUAUGCAGCUGGCAUGUUGUAUUCUUGCUUGGGCCAAACCAAUAAACACUAUGAACACUCACUUUCUCUGAUCUUUACUUGAAUAUUCUGAAGCAAACAGACUCCAUCGGACACAAUACUUAGCCAGUGAUAAACUGUGAUGCUUCAUCUGGCCUCAACAGAAAAUGUACUAUCAAAACAGCUGUAAAGGAUAUUUGUUGAAUCAGUAUGUCUGACUGGUUACAACCCUUUCAAACUGUGACUUUAAAGUACUUUAGAAAGGUAAUGAGUUGACUUUACAGGUGGGAAACCAAAGUUCAAAGAACUUUGUUCACCUGUUGUGACCAGGGACACAUUAAAAUCAAUAACUAGAGCGCAGGGAAGCUGUCCCCAGACCACCUUCCUAAUGGUGAUGCUCAGCUUUCACGUACCCCCAUGUUUGCUUCUGUGUUCUCCAAGUACAUUAACCAAGUGCUCUGCCCAUUACAAUCUAUGACAUGAUGAUAAUAUAUCAUUUUUUUCUUUCUCUGCUUUUUUUUUUUUUCCUGCAAUUUAUUUCUUCCAUCAAAUUUGGUUUUAAAUCAGUAACUUCAGACAGGAAAAUACAGAAAUGGAGUAAGUCUAGGUGAGGAUUUUAAAAAAAUUUUUUCUUCUUUAGGUAAAAACAAAAUCCAUCACCCAUCCAAAACUUAUUUGUAAAAAAGGAGAAGUAAAAAUAACACAUCCUAACUGUAAGCACUCCAAGCCUCAGCUGACUGACAUCAUAGUAAAGUUUUAUUGAACAAAAUAUGAGAAACGGAUCAAAAAGCUGAGAAACCAUUCCUUCCACUAUGGGAACCCGUGCGAAGACCCCUCCUGCAUAUGAAUGAAACAUGAAUCUCAUAAUAAAAGAGGUGCUGAAUAUCCAUGCAGUCAACUUUAUGCUCAUGGGACAGAACAACAAGUGCUUAGUCUGUCAAAUGGGGCACAAAAUAGCAUGUUGUGGGCCCAAUUAGCAUUUAUAUCACCACAGGAGCUGCCUCUGGGUCCCCUGCAUCCAAAAAAGGUGCUUAUGGUAUGCAGCUGACUGGUAACAGAAGAGUGAUUAUAUUACCCCUUUACAGCUGUUUCCACAGCAGCAACAAAAGGCAGCUGUUGGGUCUAGUUAGGACCUGCUUCACUUCACUUGUGCUCCAGUGCAAUGUUUCCAGCAAAAAGCAAUGAAAAGAGGGGGAGCUGACACAAUGAGAGCACAGUGGAAGCCAGACAGCUCAAAACCCAGAAAUGCUGAGCUUGUAAUCCAUCAGUUUUAUAGCACCUUCAGGAUCUAUAAUCAAGUCCAUUUGUCCUAAAUAAUGCAUGUCGGCUUUUUUGGUUUUGUUCUUCACAGCUCUGUCCCCUCAUCCCUUUACAUUUUGAAAAUGAAUGUUGAAUGAAAACACUACAAGCACUGAGUGUUCCUCACCGCAAAGCUCAUCCCACGGCUACUCAGCUGUGCGGGGCUGGGGAGGCAGAGACAUUUGGAAUAAAGUAAAGCUGAAAGUAAAUUGCCAAGAAAAGUCUCACUGAUUUGGGAACUCAGUUUCUGCUAUGAAAUUGCUUGAACGUAUGAACAGCAUUGGUGUUCUCCGUUCUGCUUGUAUCACUUCUGUAAUUCUACAUGACUUCGAGAGUUUUAAUGCAAAGCUGACAUGAAAGGUCAGUGCAUCUAGAUCGAGGUGUUUACAGUCACGCGUACAUGUCAUGGCAUCCAUUAACAGCCAAUUUAAUUGGAAUCAGUGCCUUAUGGCAGAACCGUAUCAAACCAUCCAAAGGCUAUAGGCAGACUUUCUAUGUGAAAACACAAAAAGUUUGGUGGGUCAGCCUGAGCAAACAUGUGCAGUGCAGCCCUAGGUUGUGCAGUCCGUCAGUCUGGCCUUGCAGCCCUCUGGGACACACCAGGGCUCGCUCCAACUGGGGGCCUAACUGUGGUUCCACAAUCCCAGCCCUUGUGAUGGUAGUGUGUGGAAAAGCAAGUCCAGUGCUAACUGGUGUGGAUAAAGAAUGUGAAAUAGUUAACAAGACAUUGACACUCUUGUUGCCUGUCAAUACAAUCAAUAAAAACAAACAAACAAACAAACAAAAACAAAAACAAAAACAAAAACAAAAACAAAAACAAAAACAAAAACAA